rnacentral:misc_RNA from 1 species
GAUGAAGAACGUAGCGAAAUGCGAUAACUAAUGUGAAUUGCAGAAUUCCGUGAAUCAUCGAGUCUUUGAACGCACAUUGCGCCCCCUGGUAUUCCGGGGGGCAUGCCUGUUCGAGCGUCAUUUACCCCCUCAAGCUCCGCUUGGUGUUGGGCGUCUGUCCCGCUUCGCGCGCGGACUCGCCCCAAAGGUAUUGGCAGCGGUCGUGCCAGCUUCUCGCGCAGCACAUUGCGCUUCUCGAGGCACCGGUGGGCCCGCGUCCAUCAAGCUCACCCCCCCAGUUUGACCUCGGAUCAGGUAGGGAUACCCGCUGAACUUAAGCAUAUCAAUAAGCGGAGGA